GUGCCGUGGCGCCGAGGCCCGGUCUGCCCGCGGCUCUGCCCGUGAGCGCCAUGUCCCGUUCGGGAGCCGCCGCCGUGGUGCCCGUCCCGCCGGGAGCCCCGGCCCGCGGCCGGCGCGGGGCCCGUGAAGAGGCGCUCCUGCCCGGGGCCCAGGCCCUUUGUUCCCGGCUCCAGCACUGGGUGAGGAGGGACACUGGACAUGCCUUGGAUUAUGGUAACCGGUUUGAAAACUGUUUUCAGCCUCAGAAAUCUGUGUGAAACCAGAGUGGCCUUUUGAAAGGGCUUCACGCGAUGCCCUCCAGUGGCAACAAUGUGAAUUUGAAAUCACAGGGAAACUGGGGAAAGGGAUCCUUCUGGCCUGAAGGGGUUUGGGCAGCCUGGCAGAGUCCCCAGUUAGCUGCUGGGGGAGGAUGGUUGGGGGUGCCCGGUCCUUUGGCAGUUCCUGAUGCUGCAAGAUCCUGCAGGGAUGCAUGGAUCACUGUUGCACAUGAGGACUGCCUGUGGGCUUCAGCUGGCCAAAACCAGAGCCUCAGGCAUGAGCUUCUGUCCUUUGCAGAGGAUGGAUUUUACUGUGUGCCAGUAAAUGCCCAUAAGGAAAAGGAACAAGGAGGAAAAAGACCCAACAGGUAUGAGGAAAAAUGCAGCUUGCAGAACAUAAUGUUAGAACAAACUCAUUUUUGACUGUUGCCUUACCACAUGACGUAGUUUAGCCAGAGUUCCUGUGUACAGGCCAGAGGUAAGAAUUGGUUUUGCCUUAUCUGAGAUACCUUUUCAAUGCAGAGUAAUAGAUCUCAGAUCAGCACAGUUGUCCAAGGUGAGUGCUAUACUCAGAGUUCCAGUAAACUGCAUACACACUGGUGAAUAAACUGAGAGACAUGCAGGUGUAAACUUAUGGCUUAGUAGACCUCUGCAGUGGAAGUGUGGCCUCCCUGUAAAGGAUGUAUAUAGAGAUUGUUCAGAGCAACAGCUGGUUUUAAGAAACACACACUGUCAAGUUUCCUUUGCUGUAUAAAUAUUUAGUGAUGGGGUUUGGAUUCUUAAAGGAGGAAAAGCUUGGGCUAGUACCAACAGGUGAAGCUUUUAUUAAAGAGAAACAUACAAACUCAUUUCCCUUAGUGUUUUUAACCUAGAAACCAAUUAUUGCAUAUUUUUUCUUUCUUUCUUUCAGAUACUUCUGUCACUGCCUUAGCAGUCCUGUGCCAUGCCUGGUGAUGACUUAUGGGGCCAUUCUCCUGAGCAGAGAGAGACAUUCUCCUGUACUCAGCCACUGGCAGCACAACAACAGAACUGUUUGGUACCUGUGUGUGGAGUCCCACUGCAGGGGUGUCUGAGCACCUUGAAUUUGGCUCAGAAAAUCUGCCCUUGCACUGUCCAGUGAGAGGGUUGUGAAGUCCUGGGGACCUGCCAGUUCAGAUCACCAACUGGAAAGUAUUUGCCAGGUUACAGCUAUGGUUUAAACACUUGAGGUGAAAGCUGGUGGUGGGUAGUGGAAUCAUGGGUUCACCAGCAGCCUUUGUGCAUUAGAGGCUCUGUUGGGAGGUUCAGAUGUCCUCAUACCUCUGCUCUGAUGCCUGUGUGUUACACUCUUUCAGGUAUCUAAGAGUGGGGCUCUCAGUUUUUGGCUGAUAGGGGUAAAACAUGUUCCAGUAGGUAGAAGUUGGCCCCAGAGUCAAGGAAUACAUUUUUAAGCAAAGAAUGGUGCUAUCUCAGCACGUCCAUCCCCUGCACAGGAGCUGUACCCUAGAGCUGCUGUUCCCAUGGCCAUGCUAGCAUAGCAGGGCACACAUGGCCACAGGCUGCUCUGCUCACUGGCAGACCAGGCAACUGAAAGUCUCUGGCCUGCCUACAGCAAGUGUGACAAAGUGACCAUAAGAACCUUUUCUGCCCUGAAAAUACCUUCAUUCCUGGUAGGUUGAGAAAUGAUGCUGUGCUGGUAUAGCUCAGUGUUGCUAAACCCAUCUUCUGAGGCUUUUGAAACAGAUAUCCAAGAGCAGCUGGUACUAAUCACUGCUGUAGUGACAUAGUCAGCUCCUGUUUUUGUGGUUUCUAAAGGCCUGUUUUGGUAAGACUUUAAAAGCUAUUUGCGAAAGAACAGACAAGCUUUUGAUACACAGUUCUAUGUAAAAUCUCUUUAGUUUUGCCAAUGGCAUUUAUUUGUAGAGACCCUGCAUAUUGUAGAGGCCACUGCUUGUUCCUGGUGAUUCCCUAGAAUGGAAACUUGAACCAAUGAUUUUUGUAAUCAAUGUGCAAUAAAUCUGUGGAAAAGCUCCUCUGUUAAUGACUCUUGAUUGAGUUCAGGUAGUUUUGACAUGGAUGGAUGAGGCUGUUCAGAGCUGGCCAAGCCUGCUUGACAGGCAGGGUCUGUCUUGAUUGGUGUCUGGGAAUGAAACCCAAACAAGGAUGUCUCA